rnacentral:rRNA from 2 species
CAGCCGCGGUAAUUCCAGCUCUCAUGGCGUAUAUCGUCAUUGCUGCGGUUAAAAAGCUCGUAGUUGGAUCUGUGCCAAUGUGCGUGGUUUCCCCUUCGGGGUUACUGCUGUGCUUGGUUUGUGUCGGUUUUCCGGCGUGGCUUUAAUCGGCUGCGUCGGUGGCUGACGAGUUUACCUUGAAUAAAUCAAAGUGCUCAAGACAGGCGUUUCGCUUGUAUGCUUCUGCAUGGAAUAAUGGAAUAGGACUUCGGUUCUUUCUGUUGGUCUUAGGAUCGAAGUAAUGAUUAAGAGGGACAGACGGGGGCAUCCGUAUCGCUGCGUGAGAGGUGAAAUUCUUGGACCGCAGCGGGACGUCCAACAGCGAAAGCAUUUGCCAAGAAUGUUUUCAUUAAUCAAGAACGAAAGUCAGAGGAUCGAAGGCGAUUAGAUACCGCCCUAGUUCUGACCGUAAACGAUGCCAUCUAGCGAUCAAGAGUUGGUUGUUUCACCAUUCUUGGGAGCUUCCCGGAAACGAAAGU